UUUAAUUUCUGCUACUCAGAUCCUGUGAUGGCAACUUGCAUUAUCCAGAAAGCGAUAGCUAACAAACUCGUUCAAUUAAAUUAAUGUUUCCUAAAUCAUUAUAAGUUAAUACAAUGACGAAAUGCUGAGUUAUUCAACAGUGGCUGAGAAAGUUCUAUCUGCGCUAUCGCUUUGAACCUUAUGCAAUGGCGAGUAUUGAAACGAGUCCGCGUGCAUCUGCAAUGCUUGGGAGAAAACAGCAUCAGCGCAAGACCAUGAAAGGAGCAAUUUUCUGGAGCGAUGGUGUAGAAAAUAGAUAUGCAAUGUCGUUGCGGUAACAUUGCUGACUGUCGAUGACAGCGAUUCUCUUCCAUUUCUCGGCAAUGGCCAUUUCUCGCGCCUCGCAACGUCGUUCACGAACGAGAUAUCGACGAAGAAUCGCUUCUUUCCGAAGAAUCAGCGGAAUUAAAAAUCUGCAAUGAUUGUUCGAGAGUGCACUUUAGAAAGCUGGACACCUGACGAUAUAUUCGAACCUCUUAUCAACCAAGAUUUCGUCGACAGUGAAAUGAACUCGAUACGAUCCUGAAGAAGGUGACGCUCCUGAUAGUUGCAACGCCUCCGGCACAAAAGCUGCCAUUAUUGAUUUGCGGCUCUUAUCCUGGCAGGAUUACGUGUACAUACAGUAUAACAGCGAGGACACUUCAAUAAACAAUAGCUUUUUCAGGAAAUCAUUGACUCGAUUGAAUGAUAUCGAGUAGCAAUCGCAAGAUCUUAUUACAUAAAAAUCGUACGAACACUUUUCGAGAGCUCGAACUCAGCAACAUCAAACGUCUCCUUUUUCCUCUGAUUUUCCGCUAUUACCU